UACGAAGGGGGCUAGCGUUGUUCGGAAUUACUGGGCGUAAAGCGCGUGUAGGCGGGUCUUUAAGUCAGGGGUGAAAUGCCAAGGCUCAACCUUGGAACUGCCUUUGAUACUGGAGACCUUGAGUCCGGGAGAGGUGAGUGGAAUUGCGAGUGUAGAGGUGAAAUUCGUAGAUAUUCGCAAGAACACCAGUGGCGAAGGCGACUCGCUGGACAAGUAUUGACGCUGAGGUGCGAAAGCGUGGGGAGCAAACAGG
rnacentral:rRNA from 1 species